UUGAUGCUAGGAAAUCGUCAUCAGGCUAUUGUUCGACAGUCACAAUUGUGGUUUUCGUAGCCCUGUGUCUAGUUGGGGUAUGGAUGAUGACGUCUUCCUCUGUAGUCCCUGGUCAGACUACUGAUGUUUCACAGGAGAACAAAAGUGAGGAGAGAACAUCUGUAACUGAGAUCAGUGCUGAGAACAAAAACGAUGCCACCAACAAUGAGGAGACCAACACUGACAAUGUUCCGAAUGAUGAGGGAAAGCAAAAGCAGUUUGAGGAUAACCCUGGGGAUUUGCCUGAGGAUGCUACCA
rnacentral:lncRNA from 1 species